rnacentral:rRNA from 1 species
UGCAGAAUCCCGUGAACCAUCGAGUCUUUGAACGCAAGUUGCGCCCGAAGCCGCUAGGCCGAGGGCACGCCUGCCUGGGCAUCA